rnacentral:lncRNA from 1 species
GUGGGCGCGGGGAGGUGGGGGGCUGCUGGAAGAUUCCAGCCUGGCCCAGAAGACGACACAUGCUGGGCCCAGCCUGAGACAGGGAAGAACCUACCAAGCCAGGAAGGCCGACGCGGGUCGCUUGGGGGCAACUCCUGACUCAACUCCUCCCUUUGCCACUAGAUCAAUUCAUACUUGGCACAUAGUGUACAAUAUCUGACAAGGGUCCGAGUAAGGGCCCCCUCCUCUUGGAGAAAGCCAGCUUUCAAAGACAGAGCUCGACCUUGAAAAUGACCCACCGGUAGGCAUUGUCGUUGCACAGCUGGAAGUUCAGGAAGGUGACGGCCUUAAACUACCCAGCUGGGCCAGGAGCAGAGCCGAGACCAGAUUUUUGAUCCCAGGGUAAGGAGCCCUUUGCAAGUUGUGCCAUCCCUCCCCUCUUUCUUCCAGAUGGCAGGAAAACUUCUGAAGGCCCAGAGACCUCGAGAGAGAGAGCCCCAGCCUGCCUGGAGGGACAAAGCAAAGGGCCCAGCUGUUUCAGAAAGUUGUAGAAGAUGCUGAGGGCUGUGAUCUGGCUCCAGUGGAGAUGCCCGGCCUCUGGAAGUCACCCUCUUGGGCACCUGAAAGUCUUUACAGGCCAGACUGGUGAGCCAUCGUUUCUGCAAGAGACCCCUGGGAUCACCUCAUUCAACUCCUUUAUGUCACAGACCUGGAGACCUGCAAAUGGCACAGGCAACGUCUUAUUCUCUGGGCCAUGGCCCCUCAGGGGGCUCACUGCCAUUGUGACUGCCCAGUGCCCAGUACAGAGACCGUGACCCGGCCGAGCAAGCAAGACACUGGAUGGAGAAUGGGACGUGGGGUCAGGACCCCAGGAGAGAGACGGAGCACUGCGUCCUGGCAGCCCCCCUCUCCUAGGAAAUGGGGCUUCCUUCUUCCUUCCCUGGCCCCACCCCACCCAUGCCCGUUACUCCCAACUCCAGGGGCUCCCAACCCAGCCCUGUGGCUGGAUGAAGUCUGGAUGUUCAGCUCCCUCAGGAGAGGGAGUGGGAAUAAAUGUCCUUCUGCCCCGGUCGGGAUGAAAACUCCCCCGGCUGCCACCCCAGACCCGCUGAGGCUGCAUUUUAUUUUUAUUUAUUUAUUAAUUAUUUUAUUAAUUAUUAUUUUUUAAAUGUUUACUUAUAUUUUUGAGAGGGGGUGGAGGGGCAGAGAGAGAGGGAGACACAGACUCCGAAGCAGGCUCCAGGCUCUGAGCCGUCGGCACAGAGCCCGACGCGGGGUUCGAACCCGCGAACCGCGAGAUCACGACCUGAGCCCAAGUCGGACCCUUAACCGACUGAGCCACCCAGGCGCCCCCAAACCUGCAUUUUAACAAGACCCCCACGCGUUCGUGCGCCCACCCAAGUCUGAGAAGCGCUGCCCUAUGGCAUAGC